rnacentral:rRNA from 2 species
AACGAACGCUGGCGGCAGGCUUAACACAUGCAAGUCGAACGCACCCUUUCGGGGGUGAUGUGGCAGACGGGUGAUGUAACGCGUGGGAAUUUACCUUAAACUUCGGGAUAACACAGAGAAAUUUGUGCUAAUACCGGAUGAGCUGAUGCAGAGGGAUCUGUAUCGGGAAAGAUUUAUCGGUUUAAGAUAAGCCCGCGUUGGAUUAGCUAGUUGGUAGGGUAAAGGCCUACCAAGGCGACGAUCCAUAGCUGGUCUGAGAGGAUGAUCAGCCACACUGGGACUGAGACACGGCCCAGACUCCUACGGGAGGCAGCAGUGGGGAAUAUUGGACAAUGGGCGCAAGCCUGAUCCAGCCAUGCCGCGUGAGUGAUGAAGGCCUUAGGGUUGUAAAGCUCUUUCACCGGAGAAGAUAAUGACGGUAUCCGGAGAAGAAGCCCCGGCUAACUUCGUGCCAGCAGCCGCGGUAAUACGAAGGGGGCUAGCGUUGUUCGGAUUUACUGGGCGUAAAGCGCGCGUAGGCGGAUAUUUAAGUCAGGGGUGAAAUCCCGGGGCUCAACCCCGGAACUGCCUUUGAUACUGGAUAUCUUGAGUAUGGAAAAAGGUGAGUGGAAUUCCCGAGUGUAGAGGUGAAAUUCGUAGAUAUUCGGA